GCACCCACCUCCCCGCUGGACCCGUGGCCUCAAGAAGGCUCCUCAGCUUCAUCUCCGCUUGCUUCACACAGGAGAAGGCUUGCUCUUCACUCUGCUGCUGGCUGUGGAGUUUGUCCAGAGAUGCCUCAGCACGGCCAUCUCCAGCCUGUGAGUACAAGAGGGUGCAGGGGGGACACGGAGACGAGGGGUGCCAGUGGGUCGGGGUGAGCAGGGUCAGGCUGGUGGUCAGGCUUCCCACCAGGAGACCCUGGCUCCUCCAAAAUCCCCGCUCCUCAGCUUGGAAGAGAAAGUGCCCCUGGGCAGGCAGGGCUCUGCCCUUGGCCACUGCUAAGCCCAGAACCCCCUCUUUGUCAGGAGAGAGACUGUCGCUGUGAACAGGAAGAGGCUCGUGGCGAUCCUCUUGGUGAUGAGCCUGGCUGCUCUCGGUGAGUCUGUCUGCUGCCAGCAGAGCACGGAGGCGGGGAGUGUGAGCUUCAGGGCGAGGGAGAGGAGCGAGCGGGGCCUUUCCAGCCUCCCGCCUCUGCAGCUCCAGGAGCUCCCUAGGUGCUCCCUGCAGGCGGAGCAGGGAGGGGAAUGGGGCUGUAGCUGUGGGGCACCAAGCGUGCCCGGGAACCAGGGCUGUCCCCCUCUGCCCCGAGGCCCAGGGAGAGGGUCCCUGCUUGGAGCCACAACCUCUCUCUGCCCCCUUUGCCCAUGUCCUCAGCCAGCCUCUUGCCAGCACCACGCUGGGGGAGAAGAAUGGCGGGACGGCAGGGAUCCUUAGAAACCCUCCUAAAGUAACUCUCUCUUGGGGAUGUGCAUUGCAGCUGCUGCCUGCUGGGGAAUCGUGCAGCUGACGUGGAGGCAGCGGGCAGAGGAUGUGCUGCAGAUUGGCUUUUCUGGUGGCCGCGUGGAACAAUCUCCCUGUCUGAGGAACGAGGUCGUGUGCCUGGCUGAUGAGAUGGACACCAUGAAGAAAGCGAUGCUGCAGCCGGACGAUUUCCCGACCUGCUGCUGGCCCUUCCAAGAGUCUGGGAGCGAGGUGCUGAGCUGGUUACCGGCACAAAUACCUCUGCAGGCCGUCAGUGUGCAGCAGAGCUCCGAGAGAGCCUCUCCGCUGGGGACUGCCAUCAGCGCCCGCCGAGAUGUUGCUGUCUGUGGCCUGGAUGAGGAAGGCGAGGAGGCAACUCUGCUGGGGACGUGGAGCUGCAGCAGGCAGGAGAAGCCCCACCAGAGCUUGCCUCUGCAGAAUGGGAUCCCCGGCGCCUUUCAGCUCACAAAUCCUGGCAAUUGGAGCAGCUCGGGAACCCCAGCACAGAGGCUGAUAGAUCGGGUGCUGGCGAUGGGGAAGAUGGUGGGAAGAUGGUGGGCGUCAUUAGACCUGUUUUCUUCAAUAAAAUUUCCCGUGUAAAAAGGAGACUCAGGCCAGAGGGAUGCGGCUGUUGGUCUGGUGCAGAGCAAGGUGGUCUCAGAGGCCCUCUCCGAGCUGCCAGCUCCUGCCUUUCGCAGGCAGAGGCCUUCCUCAGGCUUUGCGCUUUCAUCCACCAAGGGCAUCUUUCCUGACCCGGCAAAAGGAGACGACGCUCCUGAAGCCUUUCCCUGCCUCAGGUCCUUGGCAAAAUCCUUUGGCACCAGGGUCGCCUCUGGCCCCUGUAAGGAGUCGUCGGAGCCUGUCAGCAUCUGGGGCUCCUGAUGGCCAGGCUCUGGCCCAUUCCCUUCAGGGAACACGUUGGAUCUGGGGACUGGGUCUAGUGGGGACCCACAUGGUGCGGCCACGUCUGGGACAUGCCUCCAGGAAAGGAUGGAGAUUCUCCUUUGCCCUCCUUUUGUUGCUACUCUAUCUAGACAGACAUUUUCUGGUGCUUUUUACAGCAGUAGCCAGAUGAAGUUCUGUCUGGGCUUUGGCGCUUCUCAUUUUCUCUCUGCGUAACCUCAGGAGUCCUUCAAAGCCCGGAAGCUCUCCUUUUGUCCCCUCCCCUGACUGCCAGCCAAAGCUCUCUGGUCAGCCAGGCCGGUCUUCUUCCCUGCCACCUUGUCUUUGGGCACAUGGCCAUAGCCUGCUCCCGUGCCAUGAAGAUCUCCUUGUGGAAGAAUAUCCAGCCUUCCUGAUCCUUUGCCCUUUGGAAAUAAUUAGUAAUUAUGCCUGUUCUAAAGGACAUGAAAUGAAUAUUUGAGAAUUUUGUGUAAGUUUUAUGUUGUAGUCUGUCAAAAUGUUAAAAUCUUUAACAUGUAAGGGAGGAAUUCUGUAUAAAUUUUUGAUAUUAUUAUAGAAAAAGAAAAG
rnacentral:lncRNA from 1 species